rnacentral:rRNA from 1 species
AGAACGUCGUGAGACAGUUCGGUCUCUAUCUGUUGUGGGCGCGGGAGAUUUGCGUGGCUCUGACACUAGUACGAGAGGACCGUGUUGGACCGACCUCCGGUGUGCCGGUUGUCCCGCCCGGGGCACUGCCGGGUAGCCGCGUCGGGUACGGAUAAGCGCUGAAAGCAUCUAAGCGCGAAGCCAGCCACAAGAUAAGAUCUCCAUGAGGGUCGUUGCAGACGACGACGUAGAUAGGCGGCAGGUGCACGCGUGGCGACACGUUGAGCCGAGCCGUACUAAUGACCCGAAGGCUUUCUUGU